UACGGAGGAUGCAAGCGUUAUCCGGAAUGAUUGGUCGUACAGCGUCCGCAGGUGGCUAUGUAAGUCUGCUGUUAAAGAGUGAGGCUCAACCUCAUAAAGGCAGUGGAAACUACAUGGCUAGAGUGCGUUCGGGGCAGAGGGAAUUCCUGGUGUAGCGGUGAAAUGCGUAGAGAUCAGGAAGAACACCGGUGGCGAAAGCGCUCUGCUAGGCCGCAACUGACACUGAGGGACGAAAGCUAGGGGAGCGAAUGGG
rnacentral:rRNA from 1 species